UAAAAGGGUGUUUGCCGCUUUGAUGGCACGCGCACCGGAAACGGUGUGUGGGGUAUGGUUAUCAAGACAUACUCAACACAUAAUUUUUUUAUCAGAGAGGCAGUUGGCUACCCAUAUGUACCGGCGCCUCC